AUUCGUCGGCUAAGAUGGUUUAAGCCGAACGAAAUAUAGUAUAUUUCGUCGGCUAAGAUUGGGUUUAGCCGACGAAAUACCCUAUAAUUCGUCGGCUAAGAUGGUUUUAGCCGACGAAUUAUGGUGUAUUUCGUCGGCUUAAGGAAAAAAAUACAUUAAAAAAAACAGACGAUAUUAGUAAACCAUACUAACUUCCUGUUCAUCAUGUAUCACCAAAAUUCAUAUAAAAUAACUGAAAUAUGAAUUCAACAUAUGUAAACUAUAAAGGAAAAGGUCUUUAGUUAUACAAAUUAAUGGAUUACGUCCUCUAAAUUAAAACUAAGGCUCGUAAUCGGAAUCAUCCGAUGAGUCUUCUUCGGUGUCAGAAUUAAUUUUUGGUAAUAUAUGUCUUUCCUCAUCGCCAGAGCCUUCGUCUGUUUCUUGAUUUGGAUCAACAUCAAUAAGCCUUGGCUCUUCAUCACGAAUUCGCACCGAACGACCCGCUUUAAAAUUAUUAAGGCGAACGGUAGAGGAGUUAGGAAUACCUAUUGCGCUGGGCUCUUGAUACGCAACAUCCUCUUCCUCGUCUUCGGCCUCUCCAAGUGUAGCCGUCCGGUAAAUGUUUCGAGGGUGCACAAGGUUGACUACUUUCCACGUGUCACCCUUAGCAAGGUCAUCAAGAGAAAACACUUGUUUUACCGAUGUGGCAAAAACGAACGGGUUAUCUUCGUAAGAACUUGUAGCAGUGUUCACCGAUAAUAUUCCGUACUAAUCGGUCUUCAUGCUCUGCGGCCUAGUAUCAAACCAUCUACACUUGAAGAGGUGCACUGUCAUGCCUUGCCCAUAAACGAGUUCCACCACUGAAUGGAGAACACCGUAAUAGUCAACUCCAUUCCGCCCACCAUGUGCCAUGACCCCAGAAUUCUGUGUUCUCCUUCUGCUGUCUCUUUGUUCGCAUAUAAAUUGCACGUCAUUCACCUUGCACAUCGGAUAAACUCUUGACAUUAUCGGCUUCAUCGCUAAAAGUCUUAGUUUGUGCGACCAAUUUGGGUGACCAUCAAAUUAAAUAUGGUUCAUCUGCAACCAACCAUUCAACUAUAAAUAUGGAUAAUUAUGCAAUAAACAUAAACACGUACAGAAAAAUUAAAUUACGUACCGAGCCGCCAAAAUAAUCUGCGAACUCCCUGUUGUGGUAGUCGAGAUCACCUUGAAUGUCUGGACAAUAUAGAUGGAUGUCUUUCCAGUAUUCAACUUCUGGACAGUUAAUCAAUACCCACUAGUGGGCAAUGACUAGCUCAUGUGGUUGCAACUUGUAGGAGUCUGGCAAAAUUCCAUACACUUCAACAUCAUUGGAGACUAUGGAAAGAUUGAACUUCGGUACAUCUACCGGCAUGGUUUGCGGAGUUUCCUUCAACGCUCCUAAAUACAACUUCAUGUAGGUGACGCACUCGUGCGCAAUAUAUGCUUCAGCUAUACAUCUUUCAGGCGCGGAUUUAUUAGCCACAUAAUCUUUGUAGUCUCCAAGUUGCCUGUAAAUCAAGUUACAAAAUGUUAUGAUUAUUGAACAUGUAUAUAUAUUGAGGAAUUCAGGUGUAAAAACGUACCUUUCCAUGGGAUACAUCCAAGUGUAGUGUACUGG
rnacentral:lncRNA from 1 species